rnacentral:rRNA from 1 species
UACAGAGGUCUCAAGCGUUGUUCGGAUUCACUGGGCGUAAAGGGUGCGUAGGCGGGUCUUUAAGUCAGGGGUGAAAUCCUGGAGCUCAACUCCAGAACUGCCUUUGAUACUGAAGAUCUUGAGUUCGGGAGAGGUGAGUGGAACUGCGAGUGUAGAGGUGAAAUUCGUAGAUAUUCGCAAGAACACCAGUGGCGAAGGCGGCCAACUGGUCCGGUACUGACGCUGAGGUGCGAAAGCGUGGGGAGCAAACAGG